GGGUACAUGAGUCUUUCCAUUUUGUGAGAAGUAUUUCCUUUGUUUCCUAUGUCCCCCUCUAUUCUUUGUUCUCUUCUCACUUAUUCUCCUAUGCAUAGAUGUACAAAGGAAUGGCUUCUUGUGUAGAGGGAAUUUUAAUCCCCUCCCCCUCCAGGAUAGCUGACCUGGCCCAUCCCACUUUUAAAUGGGAGGGUUUCCUCAGUGGACAUUAAUAAAGGGGUGUGGCUUGAGCCUAAAGGGGUCUCUUUGUUCUUUGUUCCCUCACCACUUCCUUGAGCAGGCUGGUGAAGGAUGGAUGGAGAUUCCUACAGGAUGGGCUACACCUUCUCAGACUGAGAGGAGGAAAGUAAAAGUCAGGAAGACUGAUCUGUGUAUCAGGCAAAUAUGUGCAGUGUUUCAUGCCAGUGGACCUCUCACCUCGUCGACAAGGUAGGUUGAUGGUUCCUUUUAUUACUUUCUUUAGAUUUCCCUUUGAUCUGAUACACUUUGUUUCAAGUACUUUUAAAUGUGAGCUGUCACUUUCAGAUUAUGGAAAUGCCUGUCCUUACCAUGCCUAGAUACUCUUGCAAAUAUUCACAAAGUUCUUUCCAUAAUAUGUUUUGAACGUUAAUACAUGUAUAACCAGAUCAAAUUGAUUUUUCGUUCCACUGGGAUUGGUUGGUCUCCUUGACCUUGUGUUCUCACUGUUUCACACUGUACAGCACUUCUUUUGUGAUCCCUUUUUCUAAAAUCAGACACAAUUAUUAGUAACAGUUCUUUGAUAUUUAACAAUUAAUGGCAGGUUUCUAUAAUCUGGGUUAGGUAUGGAUAUUUAGGCUAAAGGAUAUUUUAAACUUAUCCUUUAAUAUAAAUAA
ensembl:lncRNA